rnacentral:lncRNA from 1 species
AAAUACCCAGCAGUGACUGCCUUGUGGUCCUGUGAGCCUUUAAGUUUUGGUUACAGCUUAUGAGUUCCCUCAGCUGACAGAUUAAGCUGCAUGUGGCAUGCUUCCUGUGCAAGCUCCCACAAUCUUUAGAUCUUUCAGCCAACACCAUGAGGAAGCAUUCUAGAAAGAUAACUUUUCUUGGAAGACAGAUCUGCGAGAAGAAGGGCCAAAAUGCUGACGGGCAGCUGGAGCACAGUGAUGCCUCAGGCUGGCUGCAGAUAGCCAAGUGUGGUUCCUGA